CCCUACGGGGCGCAGCAGCCGCGAACACUUCGCAAUGUGGGAAACCACGACGAGGGAAUCCCCAGUGCUUGUACUAUGUACAAGCUGUUUCUCUGUCUAAAAAGCAGGGAGAGUAAGGGCUGGGCAAGACGGGUGCCAGCCGCCGCGGUAAUACCCGCAGCCCAAGUGGUGUUCGUUAUUAUUGGGUCUAAAACGUCCGUAGCCGGCUUAGUAAAUUCCUGGGGAAAUCGAACGGCUCAACCGUUCGAAGUCCGGGGAGACUGCUAGGCUUGGGAUCGGGGGAAGUUCGAGGUACUUUUGGGGUAGGGGUGAAAUCCUGUAAUCC
rnacentral:rRNA from 1 species